UACGGAGGAUGCGAGCGUUAUCCGGAUUUAUUGGGUUUAAAGGGUGCGUAGGCGGACGCUUAAGACAGCGGUAAAAUUGCGGGGCUCAACCUCGUCGAGCCGUUGAAACUGGGUGCCUUGAGUGGGCGAGAAGUACGCGGAAUGCGUGGUGUAGCGGUGAAAUGCAUAGAUAUCACGCAGAACUCCGAUUGCGAAGGCAGCGUACCGGCGCCCAACUGACGCUGAAGCACGAAGGCGUGGGUAUCGAACAGG
rnacentral:rRNA from 1 species